CAUGGCAACUGAGAUGAAGGUGACCCAGCUGCUGCCCGGAAGCCAGCCAGUCCCAUCUGCCGAGCCUUUGGCUUCCCCUCUCCAGGCCUCCUUCCUCCUGAGAGUCUGUGAGGCAAAGUCGUCCUUCCUCACCUACAGGGAGGCAGGCAUUGGUGCAAGGUCAGAAGUCGUUUAUCAUCGUGUACCGGCCCUCAGGCCCUGCGCUGAUUGCUUCACAUUCAUUUAAUCCUGAUUCCUGUCUACCUAGGAGCUCCCUGGAGCCCACAGGGGAAGCUGUGCCUCCUCCCACCCCUCAGAUCACCCUUCCCUCCUAGAGAGAGGUUGGUCAGCCUGCUCAAGCACACACUCGGGCCUGCAGGAGCAUCAGGAUGGAGGAAAUCCUGCAACACCACCCACCGCCCUACAGGAGGGCUGCCUUUCUCUAGAACAAGUCCCACUCUCCAGGGGAAACUGAGGAACAGGCUGACCACAGGUGGGAAACACACCUACAAAGUAUCCAUCACAGCUGACAGAAGAAUGGAACAAUGUGAUGCCUGGAGACUAACAUCCCUGGACCCCCUCCUCACUGCCCGUUUUCCCUAUGUAACUGCCUCAAGAUUCUGUAAUCCCUGAAGAUGGGUUUUUGAGACAUUAGUCACCCGUCUUCCAAUUUGCUAGCUAAUCUGAC
rnacentral:lncRNA from 1 species